rnacentral:rRNA from 1 species
AUACAGAGGGUGCGAGCGUUAAUCGGAAUUACUGGGCGUAAAGCGCGCGUAGGCGGUUAUUUAAGUCAGAUGUGAAAUCCCUGGGCUCAACCUAGGAACUGCAUCUGAAACUGGGUAACUAGAGUUUAGGAGAGGGGAGUAGAAUUUCGGGUGUAGCGGUGAAAUGCAUAGAGAUCCGAAGGAAUACCAGUGGCGAAGGCGACUCCCUGGCCUAGAACUGACGCUUAGGUGCGAAAGCGUGGGUAGCAAACGGGAUUAGAAACCCUAGUAGUCC